CAGAAACUUAAAGGAAGUUGCGGGGGAGCACUACAACGGGUGGAGCCUGCGGUUUAAGUUGGAUUCAACGCCGGAAAUCUCACCGGGGCGACAGCAAUAUGAAGGUCAGGCUGAAGACCUUACCCGAUUAGCUGAGAGGUGGUGCAUGGCCGUCGUCAGUUCGUACUGUGAAGCAUCCUGUUAAGUCAGGCAACGAGCGAGACCCACGUCCACAGUUGCCAGCAUACCCUCCGGGGUGAUGGGUACACUGUGGAGACCGCCGCUGCUAAAGCGGAGGAAGGAGUGGGCAACGGUAGGUCAGUAUGCCCCGAAUCUCCCGGGCUACACGCGGGCUACAAUGGUUGGUACAAUGGGCAUCUACCCCGAAAGGGGAAGGAAAUCUCUUAAAGCCAAUCGUAGUUCGGAUUGAGGGCUGCAACUCGCCCUCAUGAAGCUGGAAUCCGUAGUAAUCGCGUUUCAACAGAACGCGGUGAAUACGUCCCUGCUCCUU
rnacentral:rRNA from 1 species